rnacentral:lncRNA from 1 species
AGAGCUACCAACCACUCUCCUUUUGUGGGAAGAGGUUGAUAAAAACAGAGGCUGCCAAGAGAUGUACUUGAGUAGGAGGAGACUGCCCUGGCAACAAGUGAAUGUAGCCUUGGAUAUCCGCUCUCAGAAGGAAUAUGACAAAUCUGAAGCUAUACCUGAGGAAUUAGCUGGAGCUGGACAACAGUAACGAGGUGCAAGUCCCCAUGGAAGAUUCAAGCCUGUCCAGUGGUGUUGAUGUGGACAAAGGCUUUGCCAUUGCCUUUGUUGUUCUUCUGUUUCUGUUCCUAAUAGUGAUGAUUUUUCGGUGUGCCAAGCUGGUGAAGAAUCCCUACAAGGCCAGCUCCACAACCACAGAACCAUCUCUGAGCUGAAGUAUAAUAAAACCUGGUAGACUCCCCCAAGCAAGAGAUUUGAAAUCUGUUAUACACACUUUAUAUUAUUUCACCUCCCUGUUUCUCAGCCUUCUCACUCUUGCAUUCCACAGUGAGAUGAAACACAAGCCAGUUUGUAUUGUUCCUGUUCAGGGAAAUGGCUACUAAAGUGAGAUAAAG